AAAUUGAAGAGUUUGAUCAUGGCUCAGAUUGAACGCUGGCGGCAGGCCUAACACAUGCAAGUCGAACGGUAACAGGAAGAAGCUUGCUUCUUUGCUGACGAGUGGCGGACGGGUGAGUAAUGUCUGGGAAACUGCCCGAUGGAGGGGGAUAACUACUGGAAACGGUAGCUAAUACCGCAUAACGUCGCAAGACCAAAGAGGGGGACCUUCGGGCCUCUUGCCAUCGGAUGUGCCCAGAUGGGAUUAGCUUGUUGGUGAGGUAACGGCUCACCAAGGCGACGAUCCCUAGCUGGUCUGAGAGGAUGACCAGCCACACUGGAACUGAGACACGGUCCAGACUCCUACGGGAGGCAGCAGUGGGGAAUAUUGCACAAUGGGCGCAAGCCUGAUGCAGCCAUGCCGCGUGUAUGAAGAAGGCCUUCGGGUUGUAAAGUACUUUCAGCGGGGAGGAAGGGAGUAAAGUUAAUACCUUUGCUCAUUGACGUUACCCGCAGAAGAAGCACCGGCUAACUCCGUGCCAGCAGCCGCGGUAAUACGGAGGGUGCAAGCGUUAAUCGGAAUUACUGGGCGUAAAGCGCACGCAGGCGGUUGAUUAAGUCAGAUGUGAAAUCCCCGGGCUCAACCUGGGAACUGCAUCUGAUACUGGUCAGCUUGAGUCUCGUAGAGGGGGGUAGAAUUCCAGGUGUAGCGGUGAAAU
rnacentral:rRNA from 1 species